rnacentral:ncRNA from 1 species
GUUUUGGUCCUAAACUUGCCAUUGUUUUUUAUCAAAUUUACACAUGCAAGCUUCAACAACCCAGUGAGAUUGCCCAAACCCCCUAAACAGCCAAAAGGAGCUGGCAUCAGGAUUACAGAUCUAUCUUAGCCUAAGACGCCUUGCAGUGCCACACCCACACGGGAAUUCAGCAGUGAAUAACAUUAAGAUAUAAGCGAAAGCUUGACUUAGUUAUGAUAAACAUGGCCGGUAAAUUUCGUGCCAGCCACCGCGGUUAUACGAAAGGCCAGAAACAAUGGCCUACGGCGUAAAGCGUGACAAAAGCAUGUCAAAACUUUAAAGAGGUACUGUAUCAAAGUCGUAAAACACCUUGAUUAUUAGACCAUCAACAACAAAAUGACUUUAAACAUAAGACCCCUUGCCCUCACGAAAGCUGAGAAACAAACUAGGAUUAGAUACCCUACUAUGCUCAGCCCUAAACAUAGAUAGCAAAAACACAAUGCCAUCCGCCAGAGAACUACAAGUGAAAAACUAGAAACUCCAAGGACUUGGCGGUGCUCCAUACCGACCUAGAGGAGCCUGUCCUAUAAUCGAUAAUCCACGCUAAACCUCACCACUCCUUGCAACUCAGCCUAUAUACCGCCGUCGUCAGCCUACCUUGUGAAAGAAACAAAGUAGGCAAAAUAGUCAGCACUAAAACGUCAGGUCAAGGUGUAGCAUAUGGAAUGGAAGAGAUGGGCUACACUUUCUAACACAGAAGAUACGGACAGUUCCAUGAAACUGGAACCAAAAGGCGGAUUUAGCAGUAAGAUAAACAAGAGAACUUAUCUGAAACCCGCUCUGGAGCGCGCACACACCGCCCGUCACCCUC